rnacentral:lncRNA from 1 species
AGAAGUUAAAUAACCCUGCCAGUAAGUGCUAGUGUCCAUGCUGUGACUGAAGGCUGGCCACGCCACCUCCCAUCCUGUUUCUUUCAACUAUGAGAUGAGCUCCUGUACUCCACGACACAAUGAGUGCCCAGCACCUUGCAGACAGUAACUGUCCACACCACCUCCCAUCCUGUUUCUUUCAACUAUGAAAUGAGCUCCUGUACUCCACGACACAUGAGACUAUUUAAGGCUUACUCUCCUAGCAAAUUUCAAGCAGCAUUUUGGAAGCUGGAGCAGAGAGCGACAUUUGACUCAACAGACCUCAGAAAACUGCAUCUUACACCCUAACAGGGGCUCCAUAUUUGAGCUCCACAGGGAACACAUAUUCACCGCCUGCUGCGCAGAAGUGGCUGAGCAGAUAGCAACCACACCUUGGACACAGAGAGCCCUUCUGCUUCCUUGGAUAAAGGUUCUGCACAACGUGACACAGGUACGCUGAGCAAAGAGGGACUAAUGGUCUGGGAAGUCAGGAAGGCUUCCUAGAACAGGUGACAUUUGAGCUGGGUCUUGAAGAUGAGUAGCUCUUCAAAGAGGAAGAAGGAGAAGGAGAAGGAGGAAAAGAGUGCCCUGGGUCAAAAGCACAUGCAAACCCCAGACGCAUGAGAGUUGAGCUUUAGUCUGCAUCCUGAGUGAAAUCUAAGAGUAUUCAGACAGCAGCUCUGUGCCCCCAGGAGUAGCCCGUGCUUCAGACAGGCAGAGUUUGGCCACAGAGCUGCACCUGAGGAUGCUGUCCAUCAUGGUAAUAACUUAAGUAGCAUUUAUGGAGCACUUACUCCUAUGUACUUGGCACUGUAGGUGCUUUACACAUAUUAACUCCUUCAAUCUCCAUCAAUUUAUGAGAUAGCCACUACAUAUCCCCACUUUAGAGAUGAGAAAACUGAUGCCCAGAGGCCAAAUAACUUGCUGAAGGUCAUGGAGCUAAAGAUGACAAGUGCCCCUAAU